AGUGAACGCUGGCGGUAGGCCUAACACAUGCAGGUCGAACGGCAGCACAGUAAGAGCUUGCUCUUACGGGUGGCGAGUGGCGGACGGGUGGGGAAUAACUCGGAAUCUACUUUUUAGUGGGGGAUAACGUAGGGAAACUUACGCAAAUACCGCAUACGAACUACGGGUGAAAGCAGGGGAUCUUCGGACCUUGCGCGAAUGAAUGAGCCGAUGUCGGAUUAGCCAGGUGGCGGGGCAAAGGCCCACCAAGGCGACGAGCCGUAGGGGGUCUGAGUGGAUGAACAGGCACACUGGAACUGAGACACGGUCCAGACUCCUACGGGAGGCAGCAGUGGGGAAUAUUGGAGAAGGGGGGCAAGCCGGAUCCAGCCAUACCGCGUGGGUGAAGAAGGCCUUCCGGUUGGAAAGCCCUUUUGUUGGGAAAGAAAAGCAGCAGGUUAAUACCCCGCUGUUCUGACGGUACCUAAAGAAUAAGCACCGGCUAACUUCGUG
rnacentral:rRNA from 1 species